rnacentral:lncRNA from 1 species
UGUAUUUUAAAAUAAUUUUCUUGAAAACUGCUAUUUUUGGAAAGUUUUCAUUUUUAAGAAAACUUUUAUAGAUUUGAGUUUGUGAUUUAGAAAUUAGGAUAACAAGAAUAUUUGUGUUUAGAUUAGUAUUCUUUCAGAAUUUUUCAUGAAUAAGUUGUAUUUUUAAAUAAUUUUCUUAAAAACUGCUAUUUUUGGAAAGUUUUCAUUUCUUAGAGAACUUUUAUACAUUUGAGUUUGUGAUUUAGAAAUUAGGAUAAAAAGAAUAUUUGUGGAUAGAUGCGUAUUCUUUUAGAAUUUUUCAUCAAUAUAUUAUUUUUUUAAAUAAUUAUCUUAAAAGUUGUUAUUUUUGGAAAGUUUUCAUUUUUUAGAGAACUUUUAUACAUUUGAGUUUGUGAUUUAGAAAUUAGGAUAACAAGAAUAUUUGUGGAAAGAUAAGUAUUCUUUCAGAGUUUUUCAUGAAUAAGUUGUAUUUUAAAAUACUUUUCUUGAAAACUGCUAUUUUUGGAAAGUUUUCAUUUUUAAGAAAACUUUUAUAGAUUUGAGUUUGUGAUUUAGAAAUUAGGAUAACAAGAAUAUCUGUGUUUAGAUUAGUAUUCUUUCAGAAUUUUUCAUGAAUAAGUUGUAUUUUUAAAUAAUUUUCUUAAAAACUGCUAUUUUUGGAAAAUUUUCAUUUCUUAGAGAACUUUUAUACAUUUGAGUUUGUGAUUUAGAAAUUAGGAUAACAAGAAUAUUUGUGGAUAUAUGAAUAUUCAUUCAGAAUUUUUCAUCAAUAUAUUGUAUUUUUAAAUACAUUUCUUAAAAACAGCUAUUUUUGGAAAGUUUUAAUGUUUUAGAGAAAUUUAUAGAUUUGGGUUUGUGAUUUAGAAAUUAGGAUAACAAGAAUAUUUGUGGAUAGAUUAGUAUUCUUUCGGAAUUUUUCAUGAAUAAGUUGUAUUUUUAAAUACUUUUCUUACAAGCUGCUAUUUUUGGAAAGUUUUCAUUUUUUUUGAGAAAUUUUAUAGAUUUGAGUUUGUGAUUUAGAAAUUAGGAUAACAAGAAUAUUAGUGGAUAGACGAGUAUUCUUUCAGAGUUUUUCAUCAAUAUGUUGUAUUUUUAAAUAAUUUUUAUAAAAACUGCUAUUUAUGGAAAGUUUUCAUAUUUUUGAGAAAUACUGUAGAUUUGGGUUUGUGGUUUAGAAAUUAGGAUAACAAUAAUAUUUUUGGAUAUAUGAGUAUUCUUUCAGAAUUUUUCAUCAAUAUAUUGUAUU